rnacentral:rRNA from 1 species
CGUUCCCGGGCCUUGUACACACCGCCCGUCACACCAUGGGAGUUGUUCGUACCGGAAAACGCCGAGCUAACCGUAAGGAGGCAAGCGUUUAUGGUAAGGGCAAUGACUGGGGUG